rnacentral:snRNA from 1 species
GUGCUCACUUCGGCAGCACAUAUACUAAAAUUGGAACGAUACAAAGAAGAUUAGCAUGACCCUUGUGCAAGAUGACACGCAAAUUCGUGAAGCAUUCCGUAUUUUU